AUGUACAUUCCUAUAACAUAGCAUUAAUGCACCAAAUCCCAUUAGAACUCCACAAUUAAGUGUGCUCGGGCUAGAGUAUUACUGGGAUGGGUGACCACUCAACAAUUCCUAGUGUUUUACAUG
rnacentral:rRNA from 1 species